UACGGAGGGUGCGAGCGUUAUCCGGAAUCACUGGGUUUAAAGGGUGCGUAGGCGGUCUGAUAAGUCCGUAUUGAAAGGCCACCGCUUAACGGUGGGACCGGUAUGGAUACUGUCGGACUUGAAUUUGGUUGAGGUUGGCGGAAUGCGGCAUGUAGCGGUGAAAUGCUUAGAUAUGCCGUAGAACACCAAUUGCGUAGGCAGCUAACUGGACCAUUAUUGACGCUGAGGCACGAAAGCGUGGGGAUCAAACAGGAUUAGAUACCCCCGUAGUCC
rnacentral:rRNA from 1 species